AUCGAACGCUGGCGGAAUGCUUUACACAUGCAAGUCGAACGGUAGAGGGGGCAACCCCUCGAGAGUGGCGAACGGGUGAGUAAUAUAUCGGAACGUGCCCAGUCGUGGGGGAUAACGUAGCGAAAGUUACGCUAAUACCGCAUACGAUCUAAGGAUGGAAGCGGGGGAUCGCAAGACCUCGCGCGAUUGGAGCGGCCGAUAUCAGAUUAGGUAGUUGGUGGGGUAAAGGCUCACCAAGCCAACGAUCUGUAGCUGGUCUGAGAGGACGACCAGCCACACUGGAACUGAGACACGGUCCAGACUCCUACGGGAGGCAGCAGUGGGGAAUUUUGGACAAUGGACGCAAGUCUGAUCCAGCCAUUCCGCGUGCAGGAUGAAGGCCCUCGGGUUGUAAACUGCUUUUGUACGGAACGAAAAGGUCUCUCUUAAUACGGGGGACUCAUGACGGUACCGUAAGAAUAAGCACCGGCUAACUACGUGCCAGCCGCCGCUGUAA
rnacentral:rRNA from 1 species